UGUUCACCCACCAAUAGGGAAC
rnacentral:snRNA from 1 species